UACGUAGGAAGCAAGCGUUGUCCGGAAUUACUGGGCGUAAAGCGCGUGUAGGCGGUACGGCAAGUCUGCUGUGAAAGCCCUCGGCUUAACCGGGGGAGGUCGGUGGAAACUGCCGCACUCGAGGACGGUAGAGGGGGGUGGAAUUCCCGGUGUAGUGGUGAAAUGCGUAGAGAUCGGGAGGAACACCUGUGGCGAAGGCGGCAUCCUGGACCGGUAUUGACACUGAGGCGCGAAAGCCAGGGGAGCAAACGGG
rnacentral:rRNA from 1 species